AGUGAACGCUGGCGGCGUGCUUAACACAUGCAAGUCGAACGAGAACGGAAUAUAGCUUGCUAUAUUUGUCAGCUAAGUGGCGCACGGGUGAGUAAUGUAUAGAUAACCUGCCCUUAAGAAAGGAAUAACAGUUGGAAACGACUGCUAAUGCCCUAUAUGCCUUUAAUACAUAAGUAUGCAAGGGAAACGCUUUAGUGCUUAAGGAUGGGUCUGUAUGGUAUCAGCUUGUUGGUGAGGUAAUGGCUAACCAAGGCUAUGACGCCUAACUGGUUUGAGAGGAUGAUCAGUCACACUGGAACUGAGACACGGUCCAGACUCCUACGGGAGGCAGCAGUGGGGAAUAUUGCACAAUGGACGAAAGUCUGAUGCAGCAACGCCGCGUGGAGGAUGACACAUUUCGGUGCGUAAACUCCUUUUAUAUAGGAAGGUAAUGACGGUACUAUAUGAAUAAGCACCGGCUAACUCCGUGCCAGCCGCCGCAGUAA
rnacentral:rRNA from 1 species